CACGGGCAUUGCCUUAGUACGGCGAGUGAAGCGGCAAAAGCUCAAAUUUGAAAUCUGGUACCUUCGGUGCCCGAGUUGUAAUUUGGAGAGGGCAACUUUGGGGCCGUUCCUUGUCUAUGUUCCUUGGAACAGGACGUCAUAGAGGGUGAGAAUCCCGUGUGGCGAGGAGUGCGGUUCUUUGUAAAGUGCCUUCGAAGAGUCGAGUUGUUUGGGAAUGCAGCUCUAAGUGGGUGGUAAAUUCCAUCUAAAGCUAAAUAUUGGCGAGAGACCGAUAGCGAACAAGUACAGUGAUGGAAAGAUGAAAAGAACUUUGAAAAGAGAGUGAAAAAGUACGUGAAAUUGUUGAAAGGGAAGGGCAUUUGAUCAGACAUGGUGUUUUGUGCCCUCUGCUCCUUGUGGGUAGGGGAAUCUCGCAUUUCACUGGGCCAGCAUCAGUUUUGGUGGCAGGAUAAAUCCAUAGGAAUGUAGCUUGCCUCGGUAAGUAUUAUAGCCUGUGGGAAUACUGCCAGCUGGGACUGAGGACUGCGACGUAAGUCAAGGAUGCUGGCAUAAUGGUUAUAUGCCGCCCGUCUGAAAACAGGGGGCCAAAAAAAAAAAAAAAAAAAAGAAAA
rnacentral:rRNA from 1 species